CGGGUUGUGGCGCAGCUUGGUAGCGCGCGCGCUUCGGGUGCGCGAGGUCGCCGGUUCGAAUCCGGCCUGCCCGA
rnacentral:tRNA from 1 species